rnacentral:other from 2 species
GACCCCCUGCAAUGUUUGACAGCAGCCUGUUUUAAACCCACAUUAUGUAAUCGGGAUUCCGAAAAUCUUCCCCUGACAAGCGCAGGCCUCCCGCGAAUCAAAAGCGGAAGUUGGAAGCGCAGCGGCUUGGGAUAGGAAACCCACCUGCCGAGUCGUGCAGGUUAUUAUUAUGGGCUGCAUCGGCAAAGCGGGGGUUCU